AUUGAACGCUGGCGGCAGGCCUAACACAUGCAAGUCGAACGAGUGGCGGACGGGUGAGUAAUGUCUGGGAAACUGCCUGGUAGAGGGGGAUAACUACUGGAAACGGUAGCUAAUACCGCAUACUAUUGGAUCGGCCCAGAUGGGAUUAGCUAGUUGGUGGGGUAAAGGCUCACCAAGGCGACGAUCCCUAGCUGGUCUGAGAGGAUGACCAGCCACACUGGAACGGAGACACGGCCCAGACUCCUACGGGAGGCAGCAGUGGGGAAUAUUGGACAAUGGGGGAAACCCUGAUGCAGCCAUGCCGCGUGUAUGAAGAAGGCCUUCGGGUUGUAAAGUACUUUCGGCAGGGAAGCGGUACCCGCAGAAGAAGCACCGGCUAACUCCGUGCCAGCAGCCGCGGUAAUUC
rnacentral:rRNA from 1 species